UACGUAGGUGGCAAGCUUUGUCCGGAAUUAUUGGGCGUAAAGCGCGCGCAGGCGGUCCUUUAAGUCUGAUGUGAAAGCCCACGGCUCAACCGUGGAGGGUCAUUGGAAACUGGGGGACUUGAGUACAGAAGAGAAGAGUGGAAUUCCACGUGUAGCGGUGAAAUGCGUAGAGAUGUGGAGGAACACCAGUGGCGAAGGCGACUCUUUGGUCUGUAACUGACGCUGAGGCGCGAAAGCGUGGGGAGCAAACAGG
rnacentral:rRNA from 1 species